CCUACGGGCGACAGCAGUAGGGAAUGUUCGGCAAUGGGGGGAACCCUGACCGAGCAACGCCGCGUGAAUGAAGAAGUUAUUCGUAAUGUAAAGUUCUUUUAACAGGGAAGAAAGAGAAAUUUGACGGGACCUGAAGAAUAAGCUCCGGCUAACUACGUGCCAGCAGCCGCGGUAAUACGAAGGGAGCGAGCGUUAUCCGGAAUGAUUGGGCGGAAAGGGUGCGUAGAUGGCAUAGUAAGUCUGUUGUAAAAAUGCUGGGCUCAACCCAGUAGGGCAAAAGAUACUGCAAAGCUAUAGUAUGCCAGAGCCAAGUGGCACUACAUGUGUAGCGGU
rnacentral:rRNA from 1 species